rnacentral:lncRNA from 1 species
UUUUUCACAUCUGAUUUUAAAACCAGUAUGCCUUCCAUUAUCCUACAGAUGCCAGCACUUGAAAGCGGUAUUUUAGGAAAGUGAGCAUGAUAUAUGGAAGGAAUUACUUAAGGCAAGAAACUACAGGCAAGGAGAGAACAACAGCUAUUGCUGGAAUCACUCCUAAGACACCCACAACUUACAAGAUACCGCUACUGUUGAAGAGAUGCCAGUGAACUGAUAUCUGGAUUUUCUUAAUGAAAUCUAAAACCAAAAGUUAAAAAUGGACAUUUUAUUAAAAUUAAUAGUCUAUGAUAAUAUACCCAGAGUAUGAUUCACUGAGUACAGGAUACACAGGUAGUUACUUUAAGUGCUUCCCUCAGUCCUUAUGACAACAACCAGUGUCCAGAGGAAAAUAUGUACCACACUAUUU